rnacentral:lncRNA from 1 species
GGGAGGGAGGAGAGCAGUGAUUCAGAGUCCAGUUACUGGCUGUGAGCGGUGCCGAAGGAAGGCACGACACGGGGAGCAGCCAUAUGUUCUUCGACGUGAUGUGGCUUUUCAGGGCCUGAUUAAAUCCAAACUGUGGGAGGGCCCACUGUGGCGCAGCGGAACCAAAUCCGACUAGGAUCCAUGAGGUUGUGGGUUCGAUCCCUGGCCUCGCUCAGUGGGUUAAGGAUCCGGCGUUGCCAUGAGCUGUGGUGUAGGCUGCAGAAGCAGCUCGGAUCCCGUGUUGCUGUGGCUGUGGGGUAGGCUGGCAGCUGCAGCUCUGAAUCGACUCCUAGCCUGGGAACCUCCAUAUGCCACCAGUGUGGCCCUAAAAAGACCAAAAAAACCCAAAAAUACAAACUGCGCCUCCUCUCCCUCCUUCCCUUCCUCCUUCCCUUCUUUCUCUCUUUCAUUUGUUAAAAAAAGAGGUCAUUUAAAAGUAGCCACUGCAUGUAGACUGCUCCCAAUUAAAAAAAGUCAUAGUAAUUUUGUUUCGAAGUGCCAGUUGCUACUCUGCCCAGAUGGAGACAUUUAAGCAAGUUUGGAUAUGAUACAGAACUUUUGAUAGAUUUGUCUAAAUGGGACUCUUGUUGUAACACAAUUAUUUGCCUUUUGGAAUAGGGCAACCAAGAAGCAUUUAUGCUGCAGCUGCUCUCUAAGCAGUUUUAUUUUAGGCCCAGGGGGAGUCCAAGGGGGUUGAAUCCACGGUCUGACCCCUGGAGGUGUUUGGGGGUCUAGCUGUGAGGUCAGUGCUCCUGCCUGUGGGGCGGAGUUGACGGUGCCAUGGGGCAUCGCUUCUUAGGCCCAGCACUUGACUCUCUCUCUUCUCAUUCACCACGUUUGCCCUGGACUUGCAUCCACACCCAAGACAAGAACCACCCUCGGUUCAGCUUUCAAUGUCAAAUCUCCAGGCUGACUUGCAGCUCCCUUGCAGUUGGUUUUCCAGGAUGCAGAGGGCUGUGGGCUCCCUCCCUGCAGCCCCCUCCCCACAUGGCUCUCAGGGUGGCCUGCCUAACAUGCACACACACAUCGAGCACAGCCCUGGUCUAUGCAGAAGCCGGCACAGGCCACCUUCAUUCAUAGCAGAGGUCCAAACAUUUGGAAAUGUAACUCAUUUUCCAAAUAAAAUAUUGCAUUGAACAGCAGUAGAACGGGUGGAAAGUUAUUAUUGGUAGGUAGGUGUGUAAUUUACCGGCAUGCUUGUAUAACAUUUGCUUGUUGCAAAGCCAGCCCCUCAGAAUAAGGAGGCUGUUUUCCAAAGCGAAAGCUUUGACCUCCGUGGUCUUGGAGGCACUUGCAGUUUGAGCUCAGCCCCCACUUGACCCCGUAUUUGUUUCUACUGCCCAAUGUUGAGAAAGUCUGGUUCAAGAUAUAAGUAAGGGAGCCACAUCUUUACGUUUUAUUUUUAUGCAGCUUGCUUUGCCAUCUCAGGGUGCCUUUAAUGACACACAUCCAAGAUCUUGAAUGCAAAGUAGAAGGAAAUUUUGAGUUGAAUGUUGAAUCACGAGCCCUGUCUAACUGCUUUCAUUGCUCGUGUGAAAUGUAACUGUCACAUCAGAAGUCAUCCCAGCUGAGGACAGGGGCUCAGGCAGUGUUACUGACUGCGCAGCUCACCGUUAGCUAUGCACGUGAUCACCUAGGUUCUGUCACCCUGGCACUUGGCUCCUCAGUGCACUGCGGUCGUGCAUCCGUACAAAUCGAUGCCACAGAACCUGAGCAGAUCCGGAUUCUGAUAAAUCAUCCGUGCAGAGCGACAGUCUUCCGAGCCAGUGACACCUUUAAUUAAAUAUUCAAAAUCAUGGGCCAGAUCAGCAGAAAAGAGCAACUGGGACUCCAUCAAAGAGCGCAUGCCCAGUGGCAGGAACUAAGGAAGGUGUCCUAGUGGAAAGCACUGGCUAUAAAGCACAUGCGACUGUGCUGAUAUAAACUUACAGUCGCUAUUGUCAUGGUUUAAAGCACGUAUUUUGGGGAGCUUUUAAAAUACAUAUUUUCUUUUUUAAUAGAAAAAAAUCUGUGGACAGAGGCCAAAAGGUAAAGAGAAUAUUUAGUGAUAAAUGAGUCUUCCCCCACCUCAUCCUCAACCAGUGUUUUUCUCCCCAGCAUUUUUCCUCCCAGUUUCCAUCUUCUUCAAGUCCUACCAGACAUUCUCUGUGUGUGCGUGUGUGUGAGUGUGUCUUGGUUGGGGCCACCCCAUAACAGACCUUGACGCAAGGAUUUACUUGUGGCUCUUUAUCUGGGACACGCUCCCAGGAAACAGCUGCGGGGCCUGGGAGCAUGAGACUGGGCAGGGACGGCGCCAAUAGGCACAAUCAUCACGUAAAUUCCACCAGGACAAACAGAGCUUGAUUCCGCUGGGGAGCCCUGGGGCCAGCACGGGCUGCGUGGCUCAGUGUUAUCUCUCCCGAGAGGAAAUGAGGCUGGUGUCUUAGAACCAGCUGCAGUGUUUGAGCGCCGCGGGGUGUGGCCCGGCCCAGUGGACCCUGGUGGUCAGAGAAAGCUCUCAGCCAAAGCCAGGCAGGAGCUGGCGCUGCAGUGCGUGCAGGUGGGCCCUGACACGGGAGGGCUGGGAGGUGUGGGCAGGAUACCAACCGCACCUGCUACCCCUUUCUCCUAAAAACAUUCUGAAAGAAAUUUGAACCAAACAUUCGCAGCAACUGUAGCCCAGCCCCAGGGAUGCCAGGCUUCCCUAGAGCCCAGGCUGAGGGCCACUGGCAUUCAUGGGAACAGCGGACGAAGCCUUCCAGGGCCUGGCUCCUGUCACUGACUUCUGGUUCCUCUCCCGUCUUAAUCGCGGUCAGGUUUUCACCCAUUAAUAUAAGUGAUCUGUGCCGAUGGCCCCGGGACAUCCUGCAGCGCACAGCUCCCGGCCUUUUCCCGUGAUGCUCUCCUGGCCUGGGGCUCCCGUCCCUUCCUCCUACCUGCCUCAGUUAAGUGGCAAGGACCAAGUUUCCUUUCGGGUAGUAGCAGGCUCAUGAGGGGUGUAGCCCCGAGUUUGACAGGGUCCAGGCUCUGAGGAGGGAUUCUCUGCCUGUCUCCUUGGCUGCCUGGUGGCUUGGGGAAUGGUCCCCAUCUCCUCCGGCUGGACGGGGGCCCCACUCUGCUCGCUGUCCUAGCACCCUGGGCCCACCUAGCGGAAUGAUCCGCAUGCCUGUCUGUCUCCCCCAACUGAAGGGGAGCUUCUUGAGGGCAGGAGGUAGGCUUUGCUCACCCCUGAACCCCCGAUACUGGGCACAGGACCAGGUGCCCAAGAUGGCCCAGUAAAUGCUUUUGAAUAGAACUCAGCCGAGGGCCCUGCACAAUGACCCGUCUGUGCAGUGUUUGCAGGAAUUCUAAGGAGAACUUGUGUAGACGGGGUGGCCCAUGAAUGUGUGUUAGGUGGCCUCACGUUGGACACACGUGAUGGCUGCUGCCUCCUUCCUGAGGAGAGGCCUGCAGGCCUGUUCCUUCACGUCCAGGCAAGAUGGUUUCUGCUCUUUCCUUUUGAGAUUUAAUGACCCAUCCGUCACUCAGUCCGUAAAUAUUUUCUGGGUCCCUACCAGGUGCCAGCAUUAUUCCAGGGGGUGGAGAGACAGGAGUACACAGGACAUAGGAGACCCCAUCUCUAAGAACUUGCCCUGCCUUGGGAGGCAUAGAAUGGGGGAGGAUGGAAUAUUCACGGGCCCAGCCUGCUCUUGCUGUUGGCGGGAUCUGAAGAAUCUGGAACACGUGGUGCUUGGGGCCUGGCUGGUGGACACUCCAGGGGUUGUAAGUUAAAGGCACAGGGGCAGACAUCCCACUAGGAGGAGGGAGCCACAGGGGGUCAAGGGCAGUUGCCACACAGAAACCUCCUGGGCUGUGUCGGCAGGCAGCCCGUGGAAGUCCCAGAGCCGGAAGCCUCAGGUCCCCCCAUCCCACCCCCAUGAAGAUCUGCUGUCUGGAGUGGCAAAUAAGGUUAUUCUGAGGAUGAUCAACCCAAAAGGACCAAUCCAGGCAACCCUCUUAAAGGACAUUUUAUUUGGAGGGAGUUCCUGUCGUGACUCAGGGGCCAUGAACCCGGCUAGUAUCCACGAGGACGCAGGUUCGAUCCCUGGCCUUGCCAGUGGGUUAAGGAUCUGGUGUUGCCUUGAGCUUUGGUGUCAGUCGAAGACAGGGUCAGAUCCCGUAUUGCUGCAGCUGUGGUGUAGACCAGCAGCUGCAGCUCCGAUUUGACCCCUACCCUGGGAACUUCCAUAUGCCGCAGGUGCGGCCCUGAAAAGAAAAAAAGAAAAA